rnacentral:tRNA from 1 species
UCCUGGUUGGCUCAGUCGGCUGAGCAUCUGACUUCGGCUCAGGUCAUGAUCUCACGGUUUGUGGGUUCGAGCCCUGCACUGGGCU